rnacentral:rRNA from 1 species
UACGAAGGGGGCUAGCGUUGUUCGGAAUUACUGGGCGUAAAGCGCACGUAGGCGGAUUGUUAAGUGAGGGGUGAAAUCCCAGGGCUCAACCCUGGAACUGCCUUUCAUACUGGCGAUCUUGAGUUCGAGAGAGGUGAGUGGAAUUCCGAGUGUAGAGGUGAAAUUCGUAGAUAUUCGGAAGAACACCAGUGGCGAAGGCGGCUCACUGGCUCAUACUGGACGCUGAGGUGCGAAAGCGUGGGGAGCAAACAGG